rnacentral:rRNA from 1 species
GAUGAACGCUAGCUACAGGCUUAACACAUGCAAGUCGAGGGGCAGCACUAGGUAGCAAUACUGAGGUGGCGACCGGCGCACGGGUGCGUAACGCGUAUCCAACCUUCCCGAUACUCUUGGAUAGCCUUCCGAAAGGGAGAUUAAUACAAGAUGGUGUUUCACUUUCGCAUGUUAUUGAAACUAAAGAUUUAUCGGUAUCGGAUGGGGAUGCGUGACAUUAGAUAGUAGGCGGGGUAACGGCCCACCUAGUCUACGAUGUCUAGGGGUUCUGAGAGGAAGGUCCCCCACACUGGAACUGAGACACGGUCCAGACUCCUACGGGAGGCAGCAGUGAGGAAUAUUGGUCAAUGGUCGGAAGACUGAACCAGCCAAGUAGCGUGAAGGAUGAAGGUUCUAUGGAUUGUAAACUUCUUUUAUACGGGAAUAAAGCCCACUACGUGUAGUGGUUUGUAUGUACCGUAUGAAUAAGCAUCGGCUAACUCCGUGCCAGCAGCCGCGGU